GACGAACGCUGGCGGCGUGCCUAAUACAUGCAAGUAGAACGAGUUGCGAACGGGUGAGUAACGCGUGGUAACCUGCCCCAUAGCGGGGGAUAACUAUUGGAAACGAUAGCUAAUACCGCAUACUGUGAGAAGGACCGGCGUUGUAUUAGCUAUUGGGUGAGGUAAUGGCUCACCUAGGCGACGAUCCCUGGCUGGUCUGAGAGGAUGACCAGCCACACUGGAACUGAGACACGGUCCAGACUCCUACGGGAGGCAGCAGUGGGGAAUAUUGCACAAUGGGCGCAAGCCUGAUGCAGCCAUGCCGCGUGUAUGAAGAAGGCCUUCGGGUUGUAAAGUACUUUCAGCGAGGAGGCGUUACUCGCAGAAGAAGCACCGGCUAACUACGUGCCAGCAGCCGCGGUAAUAC
rnacentral:rRNA from 1 species